GAAAGCGUGGGGAGCAAACGGAUUAGAUACCCCGGUAGUCCACGCCGUAAACGAUGUCUACUAGCCGUUGGAGGACUUGAUCCUUUAGUGGCGCAGCUAACGCGAUAAGUAGACCGCCUGGGGAGUACGGUCGCAAGAUUAAAACUCAAAUGAAUUGACGGGGGCCCGCACAAGCGGUGGAGCAUGUGGUUUAAUUCGAAGCAACGCGAAGAACCUUACCUACUCUUGACAUCCAGUGAACUUUUGAGAGAUCAAUUGGUGCCUUCGGGAACACUGAGACAGGUGCUGCAUGGCUGUCGUCAGCUCGUGUUGUGAAAUGUUGGGUUAAGUCCCGUAACGAGCGCAACCCUUGUCCUUAGUUACCAUCAUUAAGUUGGGGACUCUAAGGAGACUGCCGGUGACAAACCGGAGGAAGGCGGGGACGACGUCAAGUCAUCAUGGCCCUUACGAGUAGGGCUACACACGUGCUACAAUGGCAUGUACAAAGGGUUGCCAAGCCGCGAGGUGGAGCUAAUCCCAUAAAGCAUGUCGUAGUCCGGAUUGGAGUCUGCAACUCGACUCCAUGAAGUCGGAAUCGCUAGUAAUCGUGAAUCAGAAUGUCACGGUGAAUACGUUCCCGGGCCUUGUACACACCGCCCGUCACACCAUGGGAGUGGGUUGCUCCAGAAGUAGAUAGCUUAACCUUCGGGAGGGCGUUUACCACGGAGUGAUUCAUGACUGGGGUGAAGUCGUAACAAGGUAACC
rnacentral:rRNA from 1 species